UUAAAGAAUGAAUAAAUGAAAAAUGCAUCAUUUCUCCACAGGGCAUAGCUUUUCCCGUGGACUAAUGGAUUCACCCAGGCAGAAAGUUAAUUUAAGGAAAAUGAAUUCAUUUUAUCCACAAGAACAUGAAGUGAUGGAAAUAAUUUGCACCUGUCCAGCAUUCCUAGGCCUACAGUCUAUCAUUGGAUUUGAAAAGAAAUGUUUAUUUAAUAAAUUUUCUAGAUAAAUAAAAUAAUUUGACUUUUUAA